rnacentral:rRNA from 1 species
CCUACGGGCGGCAGCAGUGGGGAAUAUUGGACAAUGGGCGAAAGCCUGAUCCAGCCAUGCCGCGUGUGUGAAGAAGGCCUUCGGGUUGUAAAGCACUUUCAGUGGGGAAGAAAGCCUUGGGGCUAAUACCCUCGAGGAAGGACAUCACCCACAGAAGAAGCACCGGCUAACUCCGUGCCAGCAGCCGCGGUAAUACGGAGGGUGCGAGCGUUAAUCGGAAUUACUGGGCGUAAAGCGCGCGUAGGCGGUCUGAUAAGCCGGUUGUGAAAGCCCCGGGCUCAACCUGGGAACGGCAUCCGGAACUGUCAGGCUAGAGUACAGGAGAGGAAGGUAGAAUUCCCGGUGUAGCAGUGAAAUGCGUAGAGAUCGGGAGGAAUACCAGUGGCGAAGGCGGCCUUCUGGACUGACACUGACGCUGAGGUGCGAAAGCGUGGGUAGCAAACAGGAUUAGAUACCCGGGUAGUC